rnacentral:rRNA from 1 species
UACGAAGGGGGCUAGCGUUGUUCGGAAUUACUGGGCGUAAAGGGCGCGUAGGCGGUCUUGUAAGUCAGGCGUGAAAGGCCCGGGCUCAACCUGGGGACUGCGCUUGAUACUGCGAGGCUUGAAUCCGGGAGAGGAUGGCGGAAUUCCCAGUGUAGAGGUGAAAUUCGUAGAUAUUGGGAAGAACACCGGUGGCGAAGGCGGCCAUCUGGACCGGGAUUGACGCUGAGGCGCGAAAGCGUGGGGAGCAAACAGG